rnacentral:rRNA from 1 species
UACUCCUACGGGAGGCAGCAGUGGGGAAUUUUGGACAAUGGGCGAAAGCCUGAUCCAGCAAUGCCGCGUGUGUGAAGAAGGCCUUCGGGUUGUAAAGCACUUUUGUCCGGAAAGAAAUCCUUGGCUCUAAUACAGUCGGGGGAUGACAGUACCGGAAGAAUAAGCACCGGCUAACUACGUGCCAGCAGCCGCGGUAAUACGUAGGGUGCAAGCGUUAAUCGGAAUUACUGGGCGUAAAGCGUGCGCAGGCGGUUUGCUAAGACCGAUGUGAAAUCCCCGGGCUCAACCUGGGAACUGCAUUGGUGACUGGCAGGCUAGAGUAUGGCAGAGGGGGGGUAGAAUUCCACGUGUAGCAGUGAAAUGCGUAGAGAUGUGGAGGAAUACCGAUGGCGAAGGCAGCCCCCUGGGCCAAUACUGACGCUCAUGCACGAAAGCGUGGGGAGCAAACAGGAUUAGAUACCCUGGUAGUCCACGCCCUAAACGAUGUCAACUAGUUGUUGGGGAUUCAUUUCCUUAGUAACGUAGCUAACGCGUGAAGUUGACCGCCUGGGGAGUACGGUCGCAAGAUUAAAACUCAAAGGAAUUGACGGA